rnacentral:lncRNA from 1 species
UCAAUCCUCUUCACUAGAAUCAAUACUAACACCAAAGAAAGAAGAAAACUAGAAAGAAGAGAUAGCACCAAGCUUAUCUCCGGCUCAAUACUAUCACAAUCUGGCAUUUUCUUCCUCUCUCCUAUCUUCCUUAUACUAUCCCAAGAUACCAACUCCUAUACUACAGAAGAUAACUAUUUUUCCUAACUAUUCAUCUAUUCUAUAUGCUGAA